GGUCGGCGCUGGUUACCUCGCGAGUUGAAAUAACCAAAAACAACUCUCAGCAACGGAUAUCUUGGCUCUUGCAACGAUGAAGAACGCAGCGAAAUGCGAUACGUAGUGUGAAUUGCAGAAUUCCGCGAAUCAUCGAGUCUUUGAACGCAAGUUGCGCCCGAGGCUUGUCCAAGGGCAUUUCCGCUAGAGCGUCACC
rnacentral:rRNA from 1 species